ACAGCUCCUCUCGGCUUCUUCCCAACAGUCGUCUGAGAACUUGGUGCUUCCUCAUCUUUCCAAGAUGUCCUGCUACACGCCAUCCUGCUAUAUCCCAUCAUGUAAUACAUCAUGCUACCCAUUCCGCUCCUAUGGCCCUUAUGGCUAUAGUAGCUUGGGUGGUGGCCUAGCCAUCGGAGGAGGGUCAUCAAAUGUAAUUUCUGAGGGAUGCAAUGCCAAACUCCCAGACAGUGAAAUCUGUGUUCAGCCACAAUGUAUGAAUAUUACUCUACCCGGUCCAAUAGUCUCCUAUAGUAGUACAACAAAAGUGGGUGGAUGCAGUCCUUGCGUUGGUGGAUAUUCUGGUUCUUAUGGUAGUGGAUAUCCUGGUAACUUUGGUGGAUAUUUGGGGUCCACUGGAUACUGCAGACCCUGCUAAAAAGAAGACCCUAUUGGAACCCCCGGCAACUGAUCAACGUGAUGCAUGGAUUUACGACUGAUGAUUUUGCAGAUAUCAGGAAAACGGAGCCUCCUUCAUCCACAUCUGGAUAAGCAGAUGCUCGUGUAUUCUGAUCUCCAGCUCUACCUACAAUUUAUAGUUCAGACCUUUUUGCUACAUUGCUUUGCUACACUCUCCUACCUGGCUUCGUGUCUUCCAAGGGCCUCCUGGACCAGCUGUAUUGAGAAUCAAGGGACAAUUUGUCCAUUGAGUGUGACCUCUGGCUAUUCUGCCACCGUGUCACGAUCUGUUAUCAUUUCCAACAAUUUUAAUACUUCAACUAAGGAUAAAUUUGUGACAAAUCAUUUGUAUUUUUUCCCCAUUGAUUCACUUUGAUUUGUAAUUGAAAAUCUUGGCUAUCCCUCCCUUUGCAAUAAAGCUUUGCUUCAGCAA